AACGAACGCUGGCGGCGUGGAUUAGGCAUGCAAGUCGAACGCGAAAGAGGGGGUAACUCCUCGAGUAGAGUGGCGAACGGGUGAGUAACACGUGAGAAACCUGCCUUCAGCAGGGGGAUAACACUCCCAACGGGGUGCUAAUACCGCAUGAGACCACGGAUUCGCAUGGAUCUGGGGUCAAAGGUGGCCUCUGCUUGCAAGCUACCGGCUGAAGAUGGUCUCGCGUCCCAUUAGCUAGUUGGUGGGGUAAUGGCCCACCAAGGCGACGAUGGGUAGCUGGUCUGAGAGGAUGGUCAGCCACACUGGGACUGAGAUACGGCCCAGA
rnacentral:rRNA from 1 species